rnacentral:rRNA from 1 species
UACGUAGGGACCGAGCGUUGUCCGGAAUCAUUGGGCGUAAAGAGCGUGUAGGCGGCCUUUUAAGUCCUGCGUGAAAUCCUGCGGCUCAACCGCAGACGGUCGUGGGAAACUGGAAGGCUAGAGUGCAGGAGAGGAGAGUGGAAUUCCCGGUGUAGCGGUGAAAUGCGCAGAUAUCGGGAAGAACACCCGUGGCGAAGGCGGCUCUCUGGAACGCAACUGACGCUGAGACGCGAAAGCGUGGGGAGCAAACAGG